rnacentral:lncRNA from 1 species
ACAUGGUAAUGAUCAGAAUCAUGGAGGCAAAGCUCUGUCCAAAAAUGUUCAUUUUGUUUUGUUUUGUUUUGUUUUCUUGUUUUUAACAUUUCCUUCAUCCUGGUGAAAUAUCCUGGAAAUUCAUAGAUCUGGGUUUGGUCAUUUCAAAGCUCACCAUGCCCAGUGGCCAUUUCAGUUACUGCCCUGACAUCCCUGAGGCUACCAUACUCUCAAAACCAAAUCAAUGCCAGUGAUCUAACAUAGGAUUCUUUCUUAUUUAUGAGUUUUGUUUAGAUGGAUAUUUUUGCAGAGCAUAAAAAAUUAAAUGACAUUUAGUUAUCCAUUGAAUGUAUCACCCUGACUUAAAAAAAAAUCCUUAAAUCAAAACUUUUCAAAAAAUCUGGGCUAUGGAGUCACUCCCUCUGUGGAGCGAGAGCCCAGUCUUUUCUGGUACUAAGGCCACAGAGGCAAUUUCCAGUAGCAUUUUUAUAUCUUCUCUAAGUUUCUUUUCCUUUUCUGUCUGUAUCUGUUUUUCUCUGACUGCCUAUAUCUUACUUUGUAUACCCAUACAUAAAUUAUUUUCCCAUCUUCUCUCUUCCCCUUUUUUUCUGAUUUGUUUUCUCUCUUGCAAGAAACUCUGAAAUAACCUUCAGAACACAAAAAACUGGAGGUUCUAUACCUACAGAGUCAUUAUCAUUAUUGUGAUUACCAUUGUUACUGUUGUUGGUGUUUUUCCUCUUUUUAUUGUGUAGCAAUAUCCAUAUUCACUUCUGAUGAGGCAAACCUGUUUACUAUAAACCAAUGUCCUCCCUAAAGGAGUCAGUUUCAUUUUCACUUCUCACAUCACCAGUUGUAUCGCAACCCAUCUUACAACCAUUGCCAUGUUUUCAGGCUUCCUUGCCAUAAAUGUUUUCUGGGCAAAUAAUGGCAAAGCAACAAUUCCAGAAUGCUGUCUAGAUCUGCUUUCUCCCACCCUCAGCAUUUGACCCUCCUCAUUCGCCUGAGCCCCCAGGGUUAGGAUUUCUUGGAAAAACUUGUAUACUGUACCUGAUGGAAUGCCCAUUCUUCCUAACUACUUAGCACAAGUGCUUGCUCAUCGUAAGUGAUCUGAGGGCCACUAAUUCCUGAAGACUGACAAAGAGACACGAAGAGACUACCCUCUUAAGAUGGGGAUGCAUGGUUCUUCAUGCAGUGCUCUUGGCCACCGAGGUCCUUCAUCCAUGCCAUUGCAUGGAUGAAUACGUUUGAUGUUGGCAGUUAAAAUGGGAUGGGAGUGUCACCCUGCAGGAAGUAAGAAAAGAGGAUGGCAGGAUCUCUGAUCAGGGAGCUGGUCAAAGCAGGGCUGGAAAGCUUCUGUGCUUAACAAAAUGUGCGUGCUGUCCCCAAGUAAAUGCUCAUCCCUAGGUUUAGAGCUGACCUGGGUUUUGGGGAGUUUGUAUUUUUAAGGAAUUAAAUACUCAUGAGUUAAAAUACUCAUGAUUGCAAAGAAGGUCUGGAUUGCCUGAAAAAUAAAUUAAUUCUAAGAAGCUAAUAUGAGUUUCUCAUCAUCCCUUAGCUCUUCCUUUUCCCUCCUUUUGUCCUCACUCAACCCCAGACCCUGUGUAAUAGGAACAUUAAUUUUUAAAGACCCACAGAUCAAUAGCCACACUCUUCCACUCUACACCUUUUAUUGACACCAAGUUAUCAUCCCAGAACUAAUGAAGCAAGUCCAGAUGCUAGACGUGGCCCCUUAAUAUCGAGCAAUUUGAUUGCAAUCCUGCUUGUUUUUGUAAGUUAUCUCAACUUUAUUCUUGUGAAAUUGCAAAGGAAGAUCAAUAAAAAGACUUCAUAUGAAUGU